rnacentral:rRNA from 1 species
AUGGCCCCCAAGGCAGACAAGAAGCCGGCCGCCGAGAGCAAGGUCGAGAAGGCGGCGGAGAAGACCCCGGCGGGCAAGAAGCCCAAGGCCGAGAAGCGGGUGCCGGCGGGCAAGACGGCGGCCAAGGAGGGCGGCGAGGGCAAGACGAGGGGCCGGAAGAAGGGCAGCAAGGCCAAGAAGAGCGUGGAGACGUACAAGAUCUACAUCUUCAAGGUGCUGAAGCAGGUGCACCCGGACGUGGGCAUCUCCUCCAAGGCCAUGUCCAUCAUGAACUCCUUCAUCAACGACAUCUUCGAGAAGCUCGCCGGGGAGUCGGCCAAGCUGGCGCGCUACAACAAGAAGCCCACCAUCACCUCCCGGGAGAUCCAGACCUCCGUCCGCCUCGUCCUCCCCGGCGAGCUCGCCAAGCACGCCGUCUCCGAGGGCACCAAGGCCGUCACCAAGUUCACCUCCUCCUAG